ensembl:misc_RNA 7SK 7SK RNA
GGAAGCUGUCUAAUCAGGAUGUGUAUCAUCUGUCACUCCACUGAUGGCCAAGGUUGAUUCAGCUGAUCUGACUGGCUAGGUGGGUGUCCACUUCCUCCCCCAACAGCCCCAGGUACAUCCCCUGUCCCUAAAACUGCAGACUUGGUGGAAGAGGAUGACCAACCCCUUAGAAAGGGGUUGGUUUUCCUCAGUCAAGGGUAUACAAGUAGCUUCACUCCCUGCAAGCUCUCAGGGAAGUGGCACAGUUCAUAACCAAGGGUGAGAUUUGCAAAUCUAUAAACAAUAAAGAAAUCAAUCAAGUCUACUAAAAAUAAAAAUCUUGGCUUAAGU